rnacentral:rRNA from 1 species
CAGCAGUCGCCACGGUAAUACGUAGGUGGCGAGCGUUGUCCGGAAUUAUUGGGCGUAAAGGGAGCGCAGGCGGACAUAUAAGUCCAUCUUAAAAGUGCGGGGCUCAACCCCGUGAGGGGAUGGAAACUGUAUGCCUUGAGUGCAGGAGAGGAAAGCGGAAUUCCCAGUGUAGCGGUGAAAUGCGUAGAUAUAUGGAGGAACACCGGUAGCGAAAGCGGCUCUCUGGCUUGUAACUGACGCUGAGGCUCGAAAGCGUGGGGCGCAAACAGGAUUAGAGACCCCCGUAGUCCCUGUCUCUUAUACC